AGCCGGGUCCUGCGCAAUAAAGGCUCGCGAACUCCGCCAGGUCCGGAAGGAAGCAACGGUAGCGAUUUCCUUUAUGUGUUGCAGGGUGCCCGGCUAUC
rnacentral:SRP_RNA from 1 species